rnacentral:rRNA from 1 species
ACCAGACUCCUACGGGAGGCAGCAGUGAGGAAUAUUGGUCAAUGGGCGCGAGCCUGAACCAGCCAAGUCGCGUGAGGGAGGACGGCCCUACGGGUUGUAAACCUCUUUUGCCGGGGAGCAACGGGCGCCACGUGUGGCGUCACUGAGAGUACCCGGAGAAAAAGCAUCGGCUAACUCCGUGCCAGCAGCCGCGGUAAUACGGAGGAUGCGAGCGUUAUCCGGAUUUAUUGGGUUUAAAGGGUGCGUAGGCGGGCAUUUAAGCCGGCGGUCAAAUGUCGGGGCUCAACCCCGGCCUGCCGUCGGAACUGGGUGCCUUGAGUGGGCGAGAAGUAUGCGGAAUGCGUGGUGUAGCGGUGAAAUGCAUAGAUAUCACGCAGAACCCCGAUUGCGAAGGCAGCAUACCGGCGCCCUACUGACGCUGAGGCACGAAAGCGUGGGUAUCGAACAGGAUUAGAUACCCGCGUAC